rnacentral:rRNA from 1 species
UACGGAGGGUGCAAGCGUUAUCCGGAUUCACUGGGUUUAAAGGGUGCGUAGGCGGACUGAUAAGUCAGUGGUGAAAGCCUGUUGCUUAACAACAGAACUGCCAUUGAUACUGCCAGUCUUGAGUACAGUUGAGGUAGGCGGAAUGUGUCAUGUAGUGGUGAAAUACUUAGAUAUGACACAGAACACCGAUUGCGAAGGCAGCUUGCUAAACUGUAACUGACGCUGAGGCACGAAAGCAUGGGGAGCAAACAGG